UGCCCUUCUCUAAGGAAUAGCCACUGGAAACGGUGAGUAAUACCUUAUACGCCCUUCGGGGGAAAGAUUUAUCGGAGAAGGAUUAGCCCGCGUAAGAUUAGAUAGUUGGUGGGGUAAUGGCCUACCAAGUCUACGAUCUUUAGCUGGUUUUAGAGGAUGAUCAGCAACACUGGGACUGAGACACGGCCCAGACUCCUACGGGAGGCAGCAGUGGGGAAUCUUGGACAAUGGGCGCAAGCCUGAUCCAGCCAUGCCGCGUGAGUGAUGAAGGCCUUAGGGUCGUAAAGCUCUUUCGCCAGAGAUGAUAAUGACAGUAUCUGGUAAAGAAACCCCGGCUAACUCCGUGCCAGCAGCCGCGGUAAUACGGAGGGGGUUAGCGUUGUUCGGAAUUACUGGGCGUAAAGCGCACGUAGGCGGAUCAGAAAGUAAGGGGUGAAAUCCCAGGGCUCAACCCUGGAACUGCCUCUUAAACUCCUGGUCUUGAGUUCGAGAGAGGUGAGUGGAAUUCCGAGUGUAGAGGUGAAAUUCGUAGAUAUUCGGAGGAACACCAGUGGCGAAGGCGGCUCACUGGCUCGAUACUGACGCUGAGGUGCGAAAGUGUGGGGAGCAAACAGGAUUA
rnacentral:rRNA from 1 species